rnacentral:piRNA from 1 species
UGCUCAGGUCAGCUCACGGACUGUGAA